rnacentral:rRNA from 1 species
UACGUAGGGUGCAAGCGUUGUCCGGAAUUAUUGGGCGUAAAGAGCUCGUAGGCGGUCUGUCGCGUCUGCUGUGAAAACUCAGGGCUUAACCCUGAGCUUGCAGUGGGUACGGGCAGACUAGAGUGCGGUAGGGGAGACUGGAAUUCCUGGUGUAGCGGUGAAAUGCGCAGAUAUCAGGAAGAACACCCGUGGCGAAGGCGGCUCUCUGGGACGUGACUGACGCUGAGACGCGAAAGCGUGGGGAGCAAACAGG